CAGCCGCCGCGGUAAUACGUAGGUGGCAAGCGUUGUCCGGAAUUAUUGGGCGUAAAGGGCUCGCAGGCGGUUUCUUAAGUCUGGUGUGAAAGCCCCCGGCUCAACCGGGGAGGGUCAUUGGAAACUGGGAAACUUGAGUGCAGAAGAGGAGAGUGGAAUUCCACGUGUAGCGGUGAAAUGCGUAGAGAUGUGGAGGAACACCAGUGGCGAAGGCGACUCUCUGGUCUGUAACUGACGCUGAGGAGCGAAAGCGUGGGGAGCGAACAGGAUUAGAUACCCCUGUAGUCCCUGUCUCUUAUAC
rnacentral:rRNA from 1 species